rnacentral:lncRNA from 1 species
CUUGACUAUAGGGACAGUACUCUGUCUGGUUGAUUUCCUCUGAUGGCAGCGCAGCCUCUUUACUGGGAAAGGAGAAAAUACCUUCUAUAGGAAAAUAUGAGCAUAAACCCAUGAAACCUGAUGUGGGAACUUCGGCAGGUAUAGCUCAUAAAACUACAUCUAAAUAGUUUCUUCUUUCUUGGUUUUACCCUGACUAUUUGGAUAUUUGCUGACUGUGCUGCUUUUAGGUUGUAUUUCCCGCUAGGGUUUUCAGUGCACGAGCUGCAGGAGCUCUUUUUUGAGAAAAAAAAAAUCCCAGCAGUUAAUUUUAUUUGUGUCAAAAAUUCCUCUGGCCUGCACUUGAAGAUAGAGUAUGCAGUACAAAACAAGAAUGGCUAUUUCAAGAGCAGAAUUUCACAGUCUGGUGCUUCUCUCUGUUAAGCACAACUCUAUGUGGUUUGUGUUUGCCUUUGGGCAUACGAGUGCCGUGGGAAAUGAACUGCCUUGGACACAGAAGUGUUGCUUGCUUCCUUGUACCCCAUUGUGGAAGCACAGAGUAAAAGGUUUCUGCUUCUGUAAAGCAACACAAGUGUCUGGAAGACCCAUGUGCAGAGACAACAGGACAGCAGUGAUCACAAAGAGGGAUGAGGGUCAUUGUAUCUAAAUUGUUUUCAAUAUUCAAAUGUCCCCUACCCUUAAACUUAGUUACCUCCUGGAUGCAAGGACUCUGCAGAUUUCAUCAGUGGUUUUCAGAAUAGGCAAAAGUAAGUCUUGAGGAAAAUUAAAAAUGUAAGUACUGACAGCAAACGUUUAUUCUUAAAUUUUUAUCAUGUUCCAUUUUUUCCUACUUAGCAACAUAAAAUGUAUCCCAUUUAAGGGCCUCUCAGUAGCAGAUGACACCGCUGAUGUCUUUAUUUGACCUGCUGGUGAUAUUCUAGAGACAAUCACAAAGGCAUGCUUUGUCAGAGGUCUACUGCCUCUACUUGCCUAAAU